rnacentral:rRNA from 1 species
CUACGGGGCGCAGCAGUGAGGAAUUUUGCGCAAUGGGGGAAACCCUGACGCAGCAACGCCGCGUGAGCGAAGAAGGCCUUCGGGUCGUAAAGCUCUGUCAAGUGGGAAAAAAAUUCUUUGAUGAACAGUCAAAGGACUUGAUGGUACCACUGGAGGAAGCACCGGCUAACUCCGUGCCAGCAGCCGCGGUAAUACGGAGGGUGCAAGCGUUGUUCGGAAUUACUGGGCGUAAAGAGCGUGUAGGCGGUUUGACAAGUCAGAUGUGAAAGCCCCGGGCUCAACCCGGGAAGUGCAUUUGAAACUGUUUCACUAGAGUAUGGGAGAGGAGAUUGGAAUUCCUGGUGUAGAGGUGAAAUUCGUAGAUAUCAGGAGGAACACCCGUGGCGAAGGCGAUUCUCUGGACCAAUACUGACGCUGAGACGCGAAAGCGUGGGGAGCAAACAGGAUUAGAUACCCGUGUAGUC